GAGCAAGAAAAGAACGUGGUGGAACAAUCAGAUUAAAAAAAAAAAAAAAAAAAGAAAAGGUUCUUCACCGUAGAUCAAAGCAAAGGCAAGGGUUUACCCCAUUAUCUUCCUAGUCUUGUAACAGAGUAAGAAGCACAACAAAAUUUUCUUUUAGAUAUUUGUGUUCAAUUACUUUCCUAAAGGACUUUGAAGCUGAUAGAAAAAAAGCUUGAUGUUGUGCAUUAGCAAUACCUCAUGGUGUGCACUACUGCUGUAAAAGCAUUUUGAGAAAAUACAUCUAUUUUCUCAUUUAAUUCUCACAGAAAUCUCAUAAAAUUGCUAGAGGAUAACCAGGAUGGCAGAAUCACAAGUUUUUCAGCAAAAAUCAUUUCUCUUCCUGGAGUCCUUAGGCCUUAAUCUCAGAGACAGAGUUCUACAAGAAACCAUUAAGGACACUGGGACAUAAUCUCCCAAAGCAGCGAGACACCUGACUGGCUCUUUACCCACAAAGUGGUAAAAGAAACUCUUCUUAUAGAUGUACAGAGGAGAUUAGCCAUAUGAUCCAACUGUAUGAGUUCUAUAAGAAAUUCAGUUUAGAUUCAAAGACAUGAGCAAGUUGAAAAGAUAUUCUGCAAAACAGUUAACCAAAAGAGCUUACAUGGCUAUACUAAUGUCAGACAAGUAAACUUUAACACAAAAACUGUUACAAUGGCAAAAACCACUGUAUUAAAAAAAAGUCAAUCUGUCAUUAAGAUAUAAAAUAAUAAAUAUAAUGAUUACCUCAAUACAUGAAACAAAUUGAAAGGGAAAAUACACAGUUACUAACAGUAGACUUCCACACCCUACUUUCAGUGAUGAUAGAUAAAACAACUAGACAGAAGUGUCGGAAGCCACCCAUGAAAUGUCCGUGAGCUCAAUCGGCUUGGAAGCCAUUGGGUAGGAAAGUUUGGUAUCUGGGAAACUCCAGCAGCACUCCUGCUGGUUUGAGAUCGCCCAGUACAUGUGAUCCUACCUAGCUCUGCCAGGUUCAGCACUGUACUGGAGUUGGGGUGACCUGCUGGAACUACACAGCCACACAACCUCUCAGAGAUGGGUGUGGCUUGCCAAGAUGCCAAUCAAGCUGUUUGCUGUAAGUGCCCUGCCACACUGAGAAGCAAGAUGACUCCUCCCGCUGAAACCUUAUCCUGCCUUUAAUGAACUCCCCCUUAAAUAAAGGACUGGAGCCAUUUUCUAGUUGUUCAGUUCUAGCUCCUGUGUGGACUGGAUCUAUCAGGUGCUCCGCUUCCUUUAAAUCUAAUUUCUGGAUAUGUCUCUUAUUUCUUUACGAGACUUUCAUUUUCUCAGGUGGCUCACAACCUUCUGAUCAGGAAACUACCCUGGCAGGGUGCUGGCUGCCCUGCCAUACAGAAGAUCAACAAAGAGAAGAUUUUAAGUACACUAUACACCCACUAGACUUACCAGGCCAUAAAGAAACCUACCCAACAACAGCAGAAUUGCACAGACUUCUCAAGACAACAUAUUUGGCUACAAAACAAAUCUUGAAGAUUUUUAAAAGAUUAAAAUUAUACAGUGUAUCUUCUCUGAGCACAAUAAAAUGAAACAAAAUCCAUGAAAGAAGGAAAUCUAUUAAAUUCACAAUUACAUGGAAAUUAUAGAAUAUACUCUUUAACAACAAAUGGAAGAAAACACAGGGAGUGUGUCAAAUAGUAGAGAAAAUCAACCAAAAGUUGGUUCUUUGAAAAGAUCAACAAAACUUACAAACCUUUAAAUUAGACUGACCAAUAAGAAAAGAAAGAAAACCCAAAUUAUGAAAAAGAAAGGAAUGAAAGUGAGGAAAUUACUACUGACCUUACAGAAAUAAAAAGGAUUAUUAAAGGAUACCAACUAACUGCCAAUAAACCAGAUAACAAAGACAAAAUGGGAAAAUUCCUGGAAACAUAAAAGUUACCAAAACUUACUCAAGAAAAAUGUAGAAAAUCUCAGUAGACUUGUAACAAGAAAAAAAGAUUGUAUUUAUAAAAAUAAUUUUUAAAAAGCCCAGGGCCAGAUAGAUAGCUUCUCUAAUGAAUACCACCACUUAAAGAAUUAACAUGCAUCCUGAAAGUCUUCCAAAAAAAAAAAGGAGAGAACACUUUCUAACUCAUUCUAUGUAGCAAACAUUCCCCUGAGACCAACACCAGGUUAAAACAUUAAAAGAAAAGAAAACUUUAGGCUAAUAUUCUUUAUGAACACCAGAUGUUAAAAUACCAACAAAAAAAUCUAGUAGCAUAUAAAAGGGAUUAUAUAUCAUGACCAAGUGAGAUUUAUCCCAGGAAUACAGCAUGACUCAAUGUACAAAAAUCAACAUAAUACACUACAUUUAUAGAAUGCAAAAAAAUCAUUUGACAAUACCCAACACCCAUUCACAAUACCAAUACCCUUUCAAAAUAAAAAAAGCUAGCAAACUAGAAAUAGAUUUCCUCAACAUGAUAAAUAGUAUCUAUUUAAAAACCCACAUCAUAGUCAAUGAUGAAGCUAAUCAUUUUGUAAUAAUUGGUUACAAGACAAAGAUGUUUGCUCUUGCUACUUAUAUUGAACACUGUGCUGGAAAUUCAAGCCACAACAAUUAGAUAAGUCAAAGAAAUAAAAGAUAUCCAAACUGGACACUCAUAAAUAUCUGGUGGGACUGCAAAUUGGUGCAACCACUCUGGAAAGCAGUAUGGAGAUUCCUCAGAAAACUUUGAAUGGAGCCAUCAUUUGACCUAGCUAUCCUACUCCUCAAUUUAUACCCAAAAGACUGUAAAAUCAGCAUACUAUAGUGAUGUGGCCAUAUCAAUGGUUGUAGCAGCUCAAUUCACAAUAGCUAAGCUAUAGAAUCAACCUAGUGCCCUUCAACAGAUGAAUGGAUAAAGAAAAUGUAGUAUAUCUACUCAAUGUAAUAUUACUCAGACAUAAAGAAGAAUGAAAUUAUGGCAUUUACCAGUAAAUGGAUGGAACUGGAGACUUUUAUGCUAAGUAAAAUAAGCCAAUCCCCCAAAACCAAAGGCUGACUAUUCUCUCUGAUAUGUGGCUCCUAACGCACAAUAAGAGUGGGAGGGGGGAAAAUAGAAGUUCAUUGGAUUAGACAGGGGAAUGAAGAGAAGGGAAGAGGAUGAGAAUAGAAACACAGUAGAAUGAAUCAGACAUAAUCUUGAUGUGUUAAUAUAUGAAUACAUGACCAGUGUAACUCAACAUCAUGCUCAACCACAAGAAUGGGGAGUUAUAGUCCAUGUAUGUAUAAUAUGUAUAAAAUACAUUCUGCUAUCCUGUAUAACUAAAAAGAGCAAAUAAAAAUAAAUAAUAAAACUUUUUUAAAAAGAUAUCCAAAGUUGAAAGGAAGAAAUAAAGCUACAAUAACCAAGACAGUGCGGUACUAGCCUUAAGACAGACAUGCAGACUAAUGAGGUAAGAGAGGUCCAAAAAUAAACUUUCACAUAUAUGAUCAAAUGACUUUUUUAAAAAAAAGAUGCCAUAUGUAAAUCAAUGUAUGUGUAACUGAUGUGAUUCUGCAAUUUGUAUACGGGGUAAAAAUGGGAGUUCAUAACCCACUUGAAUCAAAGUGUGAAAAAUGAU
rnacentral:lncRNA from 1 species